rnacentral:tRNA from 1 species
GGGCGAUUAGCUCAGUGGGAGAGCACUGCCUUCACACGGCAGGGGUCGCAGGUUCGAAACCCGCAUCGCCCACCA